rnacentral:ncRNA from 2 species
AACUUCGAGGAACGCUGCAGCGGAAUAUCCGUCAGGCUCGAAGAUAACUACUUGCCACCUAACGGCGUUCACUCUUU